rnacentral:rRNA from 1 species
GUACGUAGGGUGGCAAGCGUUGAUCCGGAAUUUAUUGGGCCGGUAAAGAGUCUGCGUAAGGCGGUCUGUCGCGUCGGCUGUGAAUCCGAACGCUCAACCUCGGGUCUGCAGUCGAUACGGGCAAACUAGAGUAUUGCAGGGGAGACUGGAAUUCCUGGUGUAGCGGUGAAAUGCGCAGAUAUCAGGAGGAACACCGGUGGCGAAGGCGGGUCUCUGGGCAAUAACUGACGCUGAGGAGCGAAAGCGUGGGGAGCGAACAGG